rnacentral:lncRNA from 1 species
CGGCGGCCCCGAGGUGACGGCGCCGCGCCCCGCCGCUGUGCGGGCCUGGGAACGGGCAAGAGGGGUCACACGGAAAGAGGGGGGGAAAAGGCGGUAAAACACAGAGCGGCGUGCUCAGCGCGCGCCGGCGGCGGCGUCACGGGACACGCGUGGGCGGUCCCUUGCCCGCCCCCUUAUAAUACCCUUCGUUUCUGACUUUUUUUUUUUUUUUUCCCUUGGCCUUAAAUCCUCAGCUGCUGAGUCAAAGCACGGCGUUUUUAAAGACGGACUCCUUGGAAGUUUUUCCCAACUUAAGAGGGAACAGAAGAUGGAUUUUCAGCUGGCCGUGUGAUGCCAUCCAGUGAGCACAUGUUCCAGGAAACUCAAAAGAAGAUUACGUAUGAGAGAACAAAGACUAUGCUUUGUUCUAUCUCUGUAUAGGCUGGCUUUUCUGGUUAGACUACAUCUCCAGUAAUGCUCGAUGGAUAUGGAUUCCUACAGUGCCUUCCUCCCUUUAUCCAGCAGAGAGAGAUUGUAUUGGAUGUAUCCAUUACAUGCUGAUGUGGAGAGACAGAAAACUGUGUUUCUGGAAGACUCUGAUCUUUCAGUCUCCGACAAAUCCUUCAAGUUGGCACAACUGAGAAAAAAAAAUCCUUUCAUGCUGAUGAAUGGAGAAUUGAGGUUGAGGAACAGAAGACAGUGACACAGGGCUCAUCUAUGACCUUGGCUCAGGGAAUUUUGUGUGAAUAAAGCAGGCUAUGUAUGGCCUUUUGUGCUUCUG